CGGAUCCCGUGCCAGGAGCGGUGGUAAUAGUGGGUGGGCUUGGGUUGUUAGGAAUUAAGGGGCUGAAAGCGCACGUAUGCGGUUUGUCGGGUCGGAUGUGAAAACCCAAUGGCUUAUCCUUGGGCCUGCAUUCGAUACGGGCAAACUAGAGGGUGGUAGGGGAGACUGGAACUCCUGGUGUAGCGGUGGAAUGCGCAGAUAUCAGGAAGAACACCGAUGGCGAAGGCAGGUCUCUGGGCCAUAACUGACGCUGAGGAGCGAAAGCGUGGGGAGCGAACAGGAUUAGAUACCCUAGUAGUC
rnacentral:rRNA from 1 species